UUUGUUUUAAAAGGUGGUAGAUGAAUAUCUUCAACCAUCGCUAUGGAUCAACCUCACAAAUCGCGAGGGAAAUUGUUGAUUUGCCCUUCUUCCAAUACAUCUUUAUCGUUCGUCUUGUAAGCUAUCCUUAUGCGCAUCACCAACGAUUUCUGAAUGUGAAGUAGAUAAUAUAUAGUAACUAAAUCUCUACUAAUAUACCCUUUCAAAAAUGGUGCUCCAUACCAAACAUGAAUAUGUCUUUUUUUAAGGUUUCAUGACUACCACAGCUUACUUUACUCUCUUUUCCAUCUUCAAACUUCCUAUCUUUCCUACCAAGCUUAAACAAUACUGGUGCAACCCACAAGGAAAUCAAUAGCUUUAUUAGCAACUAUGUCAUUCCAAGCUCUUUCCUUCUCUUUUUGAAGAAGUGCCACUACUAAACCCUCUUAUGCUAUACCCCAAAAUAACAAGAAACUGGAUAGUCGAAUUCAGGGACAACAAUAUUGCUUUGCUACCUUCAGGCUAGUUUUCAGAUUUUAUCAACACCUCUUUUCCUAGCUUCUCUUGAAUUCGUCUUCUUAGGCACAAAACUAAAAACCUUAAAUCUAGGGAAAUAAAUCAUCCUUUGUCUACUCCAUAAGAGUAAAAUGGACAUGCACUUCAACUCUUGCCUAUAAUGGAACUACAUGCAAGCAUCAUCUAAAGUCAAAUACUUCUAAAAAUUAAAUAGUAUAAAAGAUGUCCAAAACAUUGAUAAAGAGUAGCGCAAAAAAACAUGAUAAGUCCAAGUAGAAACCCUAUGAUAAAAAGUUAGAAGAAAAAAAAAACUUUUUUCUAUGAUGAAAAAUAAAAUAGCAUCAGGGAAAAAUAUUUUUAAUAUUUUUAAUUAUUAUCAAAAUUAAAAAUGUUUUGGAAUGGAUUGUUUUGGACUAAACAAUUAAAACUCUUUUGGGCCAUACUAUUCAAGCCCAGGCCUAAUUUCAAGUGUUUUGGCUUAAUUCCUCAUUGGUCGAGUUAUGAUUUUAUCCCCCUACUUUAUGAACUGAGAAGAGUUAGCCAAAUUUUGAUCCUUGUACUUUACAAAAGCUGAGCAAGUAGUCCAUUUGUUGGUAAAUACAUCAAGUUGAACUGCUAAUAUUUGUUAAUUUGUUACAUAUAAAUUUUUGAACUGUUUAAUUUUGCUAAUUCCUUGCAUAAAAUUGCUUAACUAUAAGUUUCCAAGUCAAACAAUUUAAUGACAAGGUUUAACAACAUUACCUAGUUGACUAACUUCUCAGUUUUCGUAAAGUAUGGGACUAAAUUAUGACAAAGUACACUAGAGGGACUAACUUCUGAAUUUUUUUAGAGGGAUGAAAUUCAGAAUUAGACCUUCCUCAACUGUUUCUUGCUGCUGCCUUUUGUCUUUGUCCUACAGCUUCAUCUCCUUUCUGAUCUCAUUUUUUAACUGCUCUCCUUUCAGUCACAGGAGGCCGAGUCCCAGGAACCCGACAUAAAUCCCAUCCCAAGUCAGUGUCAACUUGUGUCGACACGGGUACCAAAAUGGAUGAGUUGGAG
rnacentral:lncRNA from 1 species